UACGAAGGGGGCUAGCGUUGCUCGGAAUCACUGGGCGUAAAGGGUGCGUAGGCGGGCCUUUAAGUCAGGGGUGAAAUCCUGGAGCUCAACUCCAGAACUGCCUUCGAUACUGGCGAGCUCGAGUUCGGGAGAGGUGAGUGGAACUGCGAGUGUAGAGGUGAAAUUCGUAGAUAUUCGCAAGAACACCAGUGGCGAAGGCGGCUCACUGGCCCGAUACUGACGCUGAGGUGCGAAAGCGUGGGGAGCAAACAGG
rnacentral:rRNA from 1 species